AAAGUUUAAAAAGGCAAAAAGACAGAUAAGCUUAAGCCUUAAAUACGUCUGUGGAGAUUAUUAGUCAUCCAACACAUGGCGAACGUAGGAACUUCAGUAGAAACCAGCUGGACUUAGAGGCUCCUGAAGAACCUACAAGAGAACCAGAGGAGCCUGUAGGGGGCAGCAGACCAGAAAGGAAGGAGGUGAGAAAAAGACAGGAAGUAGGCAAGAAACAGACAGGAAGUAGAUGAGAAACAGACAGGAAGUAGGUGAGAAACAGACAGGAAGUAG